AUGUUACAGAGUUGCAGGUGGAAGUUGGAGCCCUUCUUGUGUGGAAAUGCCUUGAUGUCUGAAGGGCCAAGGGCCGAGUCCUGCAGACAGGGCAUGAGGGAGGACUCCUGUCUGAGACCUUUGGGCAGCCUGCUCUCUGUUCUGGAGAUGGGCACCGAGCUGAUGGAAUGUCACACCUGCCAAAGUGUUAAACAUAAAAUAUUUUUAUAUGGCAUCUUUUAUCUCACUGCGUUCUGCAAAGCACUGAAGUGGCACUCUGAACUUCCAGAUGAUGGUUACCGUUACUGCUGGACUAACCUGGGGGACUUCAUGAUGCAUAGAGCAAAACACCUGUCUGGAGAUGCUUGAAAAUGUCAAAUGAGAUUGCCUGAUUUCCAUUUCUGAAAGAGUGAAGAACAAACUUGGGCUCUUCCAAUUCUCAAUCCCAUCCUUGUGGCAUAUGCAAAUAUUUCAGAACCAGAGUACAACAUUGGAUUAACCAUUCACAUCAUAUUAAAACAAAUGUUUCACUGGAUAUAUGGACUAGGAUGAAAUAUUCUUUUUCUCCUUCCUAUCUAACACAAAAAGACCAAGAAUGGACAGAAACUGCAUUGGUUUAAUGUCAGGAAAGUAGCUCUACUUCCUCUGGCUCAACCAUGAUCUGACAGCAGUAGAGACAAGAAACUCUUUAGGUCUAUGAUAUUUGUUAUACUUCCAUAAUUUUGAUGCUAUCCAUGUAUGUGUUACAUAUACAAGGAGGGGGGGAAGGGAUGGGAUAGGAUGGGAUGGGAUGGGAUGGGAUGGGAUGGGAUGGGAUGGGAUGGGGGACAUGACUGUUAAAAAUGGAAGAAACUUUAAUGCAAAUAAUUUAAAGCUUUAGAACUCAAGUUCAAAAUUCUCACCUUGAAUUGUUUCUCAGUAUAGGCAAGAUGGUUCACAUACUUCUAAUCCUGUAUUGUGGAUAAGAGGUGGCAGACCUCACUAGAUAUCUACCAGGCAGGAAUCAAAAUAACAGCUGUCAGUUUACAUCUUAUAUUUUUCUAAAAAAAUAAUCUUUCUUUUUUUACGUGCUCCCAAACUGAUUGAACAAUCAGUUUCCCAAUUAGAAAUCCAGUUCUGUCAGAUACAAUAAAGUGCAGACUGCAAAAGCGUUAAGAUGCCA
rnacentral:lncRNA from 1 species